GGUCGCAAAUUAUCAAAGUAUUGGUCACAAAUUAACAAUUUUUUAGGUUAUACAUUAUUUAUUGAUCACAGUUUAUCCUUUUUAUGGGUCACAUAUUAUUUAUUGAUCACAGCAUAUUAACCAAUUUAAUGGUCACAAUCAAUCAAAUAAUCUGUGACCACCACCAAUACUUGCAACUAUCAUCUCCACUACACUACACCACACCACCAUAACCAUCCAAGAAAUCUCCAAACCUACAAUCACCACCGCUACGACCACCCACCAACAACGCCAUCGCCACCAAUCCACAACCAUAGUCAUCGCCGCCACCAACCAAAUGGUCAUAAACCCCACGACCCACAGUCAUCACACCACUACCAUGACCACCAUCAAUACCAUAUCACCACCAACACCGCUUUAACAUUGGUAACAAAACGAAAACAGAAAAAGAACCCAAAGAGUAAGUACCACUUCAUCGUUACACCGGCACCAUUAAUACAAUUUUACAAUCUAAAACUCACAAAAGAAAUAGAAAUAAAAACUAAAAUCAGCACUGCCACAUUGCCAUCAGCACCUCACAAUCUAAAAUAAAGUACUAGUUGAGCACCACCCAAACACCACAAAAAAAAAUCAGCUAAGCACCCCCUAAAGCUCCAACGAAGCAGAUCGAAAGAAGAAAACAGCCCAAAAUCCUAAAACCACGUUGCUACAUCCACCUCUACCAACCGCACCACCAUCACUACAAUCCAUCAUAGACAAUACCACACACACCAUCGGAGACCACUGCACUAAAUAGAUUUACACCCUUUUGUGUCAGACACAUAGAUCGACGACCACCAUGAACCAACGACGCUUGUCGUUACUUAUAAUAGACCCGCUGUCGCUGUCUUCUGAAUAGAUCCGUGGUAGUAAUGUCUACUUUGGAGUGAUGCCACUAUGGUGGUGGCGUCUGGAGCGUCACAUUGCAGUAUCUCCAAUGAUGAUAAAGAGAGGAGAGAAUAGAGGGAUAUAGAGAAAGAAAUGAAAUGGUAAAGAGAGAAAAUGGAUAUUAGGGUUUGGUG
rnacentral:lncRNA from 1 species